rnacentral:rRNA from 1 species
UACGUAGGUGGCGAGCGUUGUCCGGAUUUAUUGGGCGUAAAGCGCGCGCAGGCGGUCGCGUAAGUCUGCUGUGAAAUCUCCCUGGCUCAACCGGGAGGGGGCGGCGGAGACUGCGGGACUGGAGGGACCUAGAGGCCGGUGGAAUUCCCGGUGUAGUGGUGAAAUGCGUAGAGACCCGGAGGAACACCAGUGGCGAAGGCGGCAUCCUGGUCUGCGACUGACGCUGAUGCGCGAAAGCAAGGGGAGCGAACGGG